CCCAGUAACGGCGAGUGAAGCGGCAACAGCUCAAAUUUGAAAUCUGGCUUCGGCCCGAGUUGUAAUUUGCAGAGGAAGCUUUAGGCGCGGCACCAUCUGAGUCCCCUGGAACGGGGCGCCACAGAGGGUGAGAGCCCCGUAUAGAUGGACGCCUAGCCUGUGUAAAGCUCCUUCGACGAGUCGAGUAGUUUGGGAAUGCUGCUCUAAAUGGGAGGUAAAUUUCUUCUAAAGCUAAAUACCGGCCAGAGACCGAUAGCGCACAAGUAGAGUGAUCGAAAGAUGAAAAGCACUUUGAAAAGAGGGUUAAAUAGCACGUGAAAUUGUUGAAAGGGAAGYGCUUGUGACCAGACUUGCGCCGGGCGGAUCAUCCGGUGUUCUCACCGGKGCACUCCGCCCGGYUCAGGCCAGYAUCSGKUCUCGYGGGGGGACAAASGUCCCGGGAACCUWCYUCCUCCGGGAGUGUUAUAGCCCGGGGCGUAAUGCCCUCGCGGGGACCGAGGACCGCGCUUCGGCAAGGAUGCUGG
rnacentral:rRNA from 1 species